rnacentral:rRNA from 1 species
GAGUUUGAUCCUGGCUCAGGAUGAACGCUAGCGGGAGGCCUAAUACAUGCAAGUCGAACGGUAACAGGGUAGCAAUACUGCUGACGAGUGGCGCACGGGUGAGUAACACGUACACAAUCUGCCUUAUACUGGAGCAUAGCCUUGGGAAACUAAGAUUAACUCUCCAUAACAUAGUGAAGCGGCAUCGCUUUAUUAUUAAAUCUCCGGAGGUAUAAGAUGAGUGUGCGUCUGAUUAGCUAGUUGGUAAGGUAACGGCUUACCAAGGCAACGAUCAGUAGCUGGUCUGAGAGGAUGAUCAGCCACACGGGCACUGAGACACGGGCCCGACUCCUACGGGAGGCAGCAGUAGGGAAUAUUGGACAAUGGGCGAAAGCCUGAUCCAGCCAUCCCGCGUGAAGGAUUAAGGCCCUAUGGGUUGUAAACUUCUUUUCUCUGGGAAUAAAAAGUGGGAUUCAUCCCGCCUUGAAGGUACCAGAGGAAUAAGCACCGGCUAACUCCGUGCCAGCAGCCGCGGUAAUACGGAGGGUGCAAGCGUUAUCCGGAUUCACUGGGUUUAAAGGGUGCGUAGGUGGCUUUGUAAGUCAGUGGUGAAAGCCCGGAGCUCAACUCCGGAACUGCCAUUGAUACUGCUUAGCUUGAAUCACGUCGAGGUGGAUGGAAUAUUACAUGUAGCGGUGAAAUGCUUAGAUAUGUAAUAGAACACCGAUUGCGAAGGCAGUUCACUAGGCGUGUAUUGACACGGAGGCACGAAAGCGUGGGGAUCAAACAGGAUUAGAUACCCUGGUAGUCCACGCCGUAAACGUUGGGCGCUAGGUGUGGGGGACCUUCCACGGCCUCCGUGCCGCAGCUAACGCAUUAAGCGCCCCGCCUGGGGAGUACGGCCGCAAGGCUAAAACUCAAAGGAAUUGACGGGGGCCCGCACAAGCGGCGGUGCAUGUGGCUUAAUUCGAUGCAACGCGAAGAACCUUACCAGGGCUUGACAUGCGGGGAAAUCCAUCAGAGAUGGUGGGUCCUUAGGGGUCCCGCACAGGUGGUGCAUGGCUGUCGUCAGCUCGUGUCGUGAGAUGUUGGGUUAAGUCCCGCAACGAGCGCAACCCUUGUCCUAUGUUGCCAGCGGUUCGGCCGGGGACUCAUAGGAGACUGCCGGGGUCAACUCGGAGGAAGGUGGGGAUGACGUCAAGUCAUCAUGCCCCUUACGUCCUGGGCUGCACACAUGCUACAAUGGCCGGUACAAUGGGCUGCGAUACCGUGAGGUGGAACGAAUCCCAAAAAGCCGGUCUCAGUUCGGAUCGGGGUCUGCAACUCGACCCCGUGAAGUCGGAGUCGCUAGUAAUCGCAGAUCAGCAUUGCUGCGGUGAAUACGUUCCCGGGCCUUGUACACACCGCCCGUCACGUCAUGAAAGUCGGUAACACCCGAAGCCGGUGGCCCAACCCUUGUGGAGGGAGCCGUCGAAGGUGGGACCGGCGAUUAGGACGAAGUCGUAAACAGGUAGCCGU